rnacentral:rRNA from 1 species
AACGAACGCUGGCGGCAUGCCUAACACAUGCAAGUCGAACGAGACCUUCGGGUCUAGUGGCGCACGGGUGCGUAACGCCUGGGAACCUGCCCUUAGGUUCGGAAUCACUCCCCGAAAGGGGUGCUAAUACCGGAUAAUGUCUUCGGACCAAAGAUUUAUCGCCUUUGGAUGGGCCCGCGUUGGAUUAGCUAGUUGGUAGGGUAAAAGCCUACCAAGGCGACGAUCCAUAGCUGGUCGGAGAGGAUGAUCAGCCACACUGGGACUGAGACACGGCCCAGACUCCUACGGGAGGCAGCAGUGGGGAAUAUUGGACAAUGGGCGAAAGCCUGAUCCAGCAAUGCCGCGUGAGUGAUGAAGGCCUUAGGGUUGUAAAGCUCUUUUACCCGGGAUGAUAAUGACAGUACCGGGAGAAUAAGCUCCGGCUAACUCCGUG